GCAAUUUGGCUACACCGAAACCGCUCUAUCUUCAAUGAAGGGGGAACGCAGGAGGAAUCAGUGCUUGAUAACGCUCAAAUUAUGAUGUGGCAAUGGCUGUCAAGAAGGGUGAAGGGCUUCAGCUGCUCCUUCAAAGAAUGAUUUGAAGGAAAAUGUUGCAGCUUGAUAGACGUGCUUGCACUCAUGUCUUACUGGUAGCGAUUUUGGCUGGCCCUGAUAAUGAUGCACUAUGAUCUCCCCUGCUAUUUUGUCUAUUUUGUCUAUGUUUUUUUCUCUGUUUUGAUACCUUUUUUUCCCUGCUAUUCAUUCUUGCAUUUCAAUUUCCAGAUCCUUGGAAGAUAUGUUUUUUGCGAGAAUAUGUUUAUUGUUUUAUCAUGUGCUUUGUAUGAUUUUCUUAGCAUGUAAUUUGUGAUUGAAAAGAGAUUAUAUGUUAUCAAAUGCCUAAAUUUCUAUGUCCUUUAUCUAAUGACUGCUCGGGAAUGUUGUCAUAGACUUGUCCUUGAUCCUUUCUGUGUUGCUACAACACUGGUAACAUAAUCAAAUCAUUAUGACGUUGAAAUCCUUAUAUUUAAUGCUUGGUAUCAUGUUACUUAUAUCCUUUUUGUUCUAUUGGCAGAUGUCUUGAUCUACGGGAUGCACUUGAGAAGCUAUAACUCAAUGAUGUUGCACUGAAGUUUGAACCUGAGACCUCAGGUGCUAUGGGAUUCGACUUUAGAUGUGGGUUUUUGGGUCUUCACCACAUUUCCAGAUAUAUACUGAUUCUGAAGAAGCCAAUAUUCCAUCUGUUCUGAAUUAUGAGGGAACUGUCAUUGGGUGAACUAAAUAUGAAUGAAGCUUCCAUAUCCAAUCAACUUAUAAGAUUAAAGAAGCUAUGAAAGGUGAAAGAACAAUCCCUACUCCAUCAGAGAGAGCCUUUAGAAAAUUAGAGCACUGCAAGGGUAUGGGGCUUCAAAGGUCCACAAGUGCCUCCCGAGUGUGAAUGCAAUGUUGAUGGGACAACUUAUUUAUGGAGAGAAGAGAAUUUCAGAAUUUCAGAAUGUUGGUAUGUAAUGUCAAAAAUGGUGGUCUUAAGAAAUUUGAUUUUUUGUAGUGUGAAAACUUCCCUUUGCUACAAGUUUAACUUUAAAUUCAUUUUUUUAUGAAAUGUAAUGUCUUUGGUUGUUCUGUUAUACUUCUUCAUGAAAAAGGCAUGAAUGAGUGACUUCUACAGAGAUGGGUAGUAAGAAGAUGAGAGGCAAUAACUAAGAGAAGACAUGUCCUCUAAUUACGAUCUUUGCUACCUCCAUGGCUGGUUUCAUGGUGAUGGAGUGUAUAAUUGAAGUUGUAAAGUGUCGAACUGGUCUAAAUAUGGAUAUACUUGCAUCAUCUAAAGCCUUUCAUAUUUUUUUUAGCAA